UAAUACGUAGGUGGCAAGCGUUGUCCGGAUUUACUGGGCGUAAAGGAUGCGUAGGCGGACUUUUAAGUGAGAUGUGAAAUUCCCGGGCUUAACUUGGGAGCUGCAUUUCAAACUGGAAGUCUAGAGUGCGGGAGAGGAAAGUGGAAUUCCUAGUGUAGCGGUGAAAUGCGUAGAGAUUAGGAAGAACACCAGUGGCGAAGGCGACUUUCUGGACCGUAACUGACGCUGAGGCAUGAAAGCGUGGGUAGCAAACAGGAUUAGAUACCCUGGUAGUCCACGCCGUAAACGAUGAGUACUAGGUGUAGGAGGUAUCGACCCCUUCUGUGCCGCAGUUAACACAAUAAGUACUCCGCCUGGGAAGUACGAUCGCAAGAUUAAAACUUAAAGGAAUUGACGG
rnacentral:rRNA from 1 species